GAGUUUGAUCGUGGCUCAGGACGAACGCUGGCGGCGUGCCUAAUACAUGCAAGUAGAACGCUGAAGAGAGGAGCUUGCUCUUCUUGGAUGAGUUGCGAACGGGUGAGUAACGCGUAGGUAACCUGCCUUGUAGCGGGGGAUAACUAUUGGAAACGAUAGCUAAUACCGCAUAACAAUGGAUGACACAUGUCAUUUAUUUGAAAGGGGCAAUUGCUCCACUACAAGAUGGACCUGCGUUGUAUUAGCUAGUAGGUGAGGUAAUGGCUCACCUAGGCGACGAUACAUAGCCGACCUGAGAGGGUGAUCGGCCACACUGGGACUGAGACACGGCCCAGACUCC
rnacentral:rRNA from 1 species